UAUGGGUCAGUCUGUGUGGGUCACAGCCUUACUUAUGGGUCAGGGCCCCAUUUGUGGGUCAAAGCCCCACUUGUGGGGCAGAGACCCGCUUAUGGGGCAAAGCCUCACUUAUGGGGCAGAGCCCCACUUAUGGGUCAGUCUGUGUGGGUCAGAGCCUCACUUAUGGGGCAGAGCCCCACUUGUGGGUCAGUCUGUGUGGGUUAAUGCCCUACUUAUGGGUCAGAUCCCACUUGUGGGUCAGAUCCCACUUAUGGGUCAGGGCCCCACUUAUGGGUCACAGCCCCACUUAUGGGGCAGAGCUCCACUUGUGGGUCACACCUCCAUUUAUGGGUCACAGCCCCUGUGACCUAUGGGGCAAAGGCUGACCUAUGGGGCAGAGACGCAGCUAUGGGGCAGAGAUCCUCAUCUAUGGGGCGGAGACCCAUCUAUGGGGCAGAGACCCUCAUCUAUGGGGCAGAGAUCCUCAUCUAUGGGGUGGAGGCUCUGACCUGC
rnacentral:lncRNA from 1 species